rnacentral:tRNA from 2 species
AUUAGGAUGGCAGAUCAGUGCAUAGGAUUUAAGAUCCUAUUAGGAAUUAUAUAAUUAAUUCUUCUAAUA